rnacentral:rRNA from 1 species
UGGCGGCGUGCCUAACACAUGCAAGUCGAGCGAGGAGAUCCUUCGGGAUGAUCCUAGCGGCGGACGGGUGAGUAACACGUGGGCAACCUGCCUCAUAGAGAGGAAUAGCCUUCCGAAAGGGAGAUUAAUACCUCAUAACAUUGCAGUUUCGCAUGAAACAGCAAUUAAAGGAGCAAUCCGCUAUGAGAUGGGCCCGCGGCGCAUUAGCUAGUUGGUGAGGUAACGGCUCACCAAGGCGACGAUGCGUAGCCGACCUGAGAGGGUGAUCGGCCACAUUGGGACUGAGACACGGCCCAGACUCCUACGGGAGGCAGCAGGUGGGGAAUAUUGCACAAUGGGGGAAACCCUGAUGCAAGCAACGCCGCGUGAGUGAUGACGGCCUUCGGGUUGUAAAGCUCUGUCUUCAGGGACGAUAAUGACGGUACCUGAGGAGGAAGCCACGGCUAACUACGUGCCAGCCGCAGC